CCUACGGGCGGCAGCAGUGGGGAAUAUUGGACAAUGGGCGAAAGCCUGAUCCGGCCAUGCCGCGUGUGUGAAGAAGGCCUUCGGGUUGUAAAGCACUUUCAGUGGGGAAGAAAGCCUUGGGGCUAAUACCCUCGAGGAAGGACAUCACCCACAGAAGAAGCACCGGCUAACUCCGUGCCAGCAGCCGCGGUAAUACGGAGGGUGCGAGCGUUAAUCGGAAUUACUGGGCGUAAAGCGCGCGUAGGCGGUCUGAUAAGCCGGUUGUGAAAGCCCCGGGCUCAACCUGGGAACGGCAUCCGGAACUGUCAGGCUAGAGUGCAGGAGAGGAAGGUAGAAUUCCCGGUGUAGCGGUGAAAUGCGUAGAGAUCGGGAGGAAUACCAGUGGCGAAGGCGGCCUUCUGGACUGACACUGACGCUGAGGUGCGAAAGCGUGGGUAGCAAACAGGAUUAGAUACCCUAGUAGUC
rnacentral:rRNA from 1 species